AUGUACGCCGCCAUAUCUGGUUGUUGUUCACAAAAGGCCUCUAGUUCGAAUACGGCGUGGUGCUUGUAUAUUCAGGCUUAUACAGAUACAGACGCAGUUUAUGCAGUACAAGAAUCUUGUCAAUAUAUCAGCAAAUAAUCUCCAUAAGCACUACACAUAGAAGCAUUUUCUGAUAGUGAACACUGUUUGGACAUGGCUGGUGUACUGAGAGGACGGGAGACGGUUGUUGAAGCAACAACGAUCUAUGAUUAUUACGAACGCAAGAUAAACAACACUCCAGGGACUGCUGGAUUGGAAGCUAUACGCUACAAUGGAAGAAGCAUCACCCAUGGGAAAUUGAAUGCCAAGGCAAAUAUUCUCGCUAAAGCAAUAUUGAAAAGGAUUGAAUCCUCCAGUGGGACAGUAGAUCCGAUUAUUGGUGUGUUUAUACAGCCGAGUGAUGCUCGAAUAAUUGCGAUUCUUUCAAUCUUCAAAUUAGGUGCAGGGUAUGUACCGCUGGAUCCAGUUCUUCCAGCAGAACGAAUCAAGCAUAUCGUCAAUGAAGCGAAACCGUUGUGUAUAAUCGCAUCAAAGGAAAAUAAAACACUAUUUAACAAUGUCGAAAUACUCGGAGUUGAUGUCUUCGAGAUUUCAGAACUAUUAGACAAUGAAGAGUCCAUAUCCGGUGACAAUCUUAUCCCGAAAGAAAGACUAUCAAAUGCUAAGGACCCACUUGCAUGUGUCCUGUAUACGUCCGGGAGUACAGGUACUCCCAAAGGAGUGAAACUGCGUCACAGUAAUGUUAUGAAUAGACUUAUGUGGCAAUGGGAGACGCUUCCGUUCAAAAAAGAUGAUGUUGCAUGUGCUAAGACUUCCAUACUAUUUGUUGACUCACUCACAGAAGCAUUUAGUGCGUUGUUAGCGACUGUCCCGAUUGUGAUUGUUCCCAAGUCUGAUACGCAGAACCCUGAGAUUUUUGUAAACAUUUUGAGUGAAAACAAAAUUACUCGACUCGUUGUUGUCCCGUCGUUGCUAAAAAACAUACUACUCUAUCUCCAGUUAAAACAAGAUUCAACGUCUCUAAAGCAACUGCGAGUUGUUGUCACAAGUGGAGAAAUCUUGCCAUCACUCCUGCUUACAGAAUUCUUCAAAGCAUUUCCAACGGGCUGUAUUCUAGCUAACCUGUACGGGAGCACCGAAACAACAGGAGACAUCACUGCAGAGCUUUUCACAAGUGAUGACAUCACAAACAAAAUAACAAAUGGAAAGGUAAAGAUAGGAUCUCCUAUUGACAACUGCAACGUCUAUCUAUUAGACACAGACAUGAAACCAGUCCAGGAUGGUGAACUUGGCGAGAUGUUUUUCAGUGGCGCAAACAUAUCUGAAGGAUAUAUGGAUCGAGAGAAAAUGGUUCAGUUUGUAGCGAAUAUGAUAAGUCCAUCUCCCAACCAUGAAAUUCUUUUCCGAUCUGGCGACUUUGGACGAAUCAUUGACGGUGGAAUACUAUACGAGGGAAGACAAGACGCUCAGGUUAAGAUAAGAGGUCACAGGGUAAACUUAACAGAAAUAGAAAACGUAGUGUUAAGAGUGAAUGGAGUCGAUAAAGCUGUAGUGAUAGCUCACGAGACGAAUGAGUCUAACAAAGUUCUUGUUGCGUUCUUUACAUGCCUAACCGGGGAAGAUCUUACAGAAGUCGUCAGGACAAAGUGUAAGGAAAAUGUCCCGACGUAUAUGGUGCCACAGGUGGAGCAAUUAGACACGAUGCCACUUCAGAGCCACACUGGAAAGGUCGAUAGGGUAAAUCUCAAAGUGAGAUUCGCUGCAAAGUACGCCAAAGCCAAAGAUGACGACGAUGCAGUCAAGAUGCCCGAUCCAGUAGCUGAUGUUAUAUUUUCUGUGAUUGCUAAAGAGUUGGGAAUUUUCAAAACAUCACUCAAUUAUGAAGAUAAUUUCUUCAAUGUUGGAGGAAACAGCGUGAACGCCAUGUCCGUCUUGAUGAAGCUAAAAACACAUGGCGUUUCGAUCGGGAUAACGGAUUUCAUAAAAGCUACCUCGUUGCGUGAGGUUGUACAACUUGCCAAAUCUUCCACUGGAAACAUUGCGUCUUCCAUCCCACCCGGGAAAUACAUCGUUAGAUUGCUCAAUGACGAUCCAAACUUAGAGGAAGCUGUCCGCCUGAACGCAGAAAACUUUUGCUCAAAAGAAUUCAUGACAGAGUAUCUGAAAAUACCAGUUGAUAUGUUUGUCAACUUCGUCAACAAUUUCAUGCCACAAGUUCUUGAAGAACGUCUGUCUAUAACUGUCAGGGAUGCAAACACUGGGACAUUACUUGGUGCUACUUUUAACGUAACUACGGAAGGGGAAUCCGAUGUCGUAUGGCCUGAUAAAAUGCUUCCAAUAGCGGCGUUCUUGGAACAAGGCGAGGGACCAUUGAAAGAAAAGACUGCAGAACUGGGUGGUAAAUGGGUGGCCUCUUUUGUAGCAGGGACAAACUUGUCUUUGUCUUUCAAAGAAAAUCUCGAAUUGAUGUGGUUAAUGGAGAACGAGAGUUUGAAAAUAGCACGAGAUGCUGGCUACGAUGGCUUCACUUCAGUUAACACCCACUAUGUCACAUGCGAUAUGGCUGAACAUACGUUUGGAUACACAGUGGUUAGCGUUAAUAAAGUCAAAGACUUUAUUUAUGAUGGGAAACAAGUGUUCAGUGGCUUACCAGACGAUUUGUAUGGAAAGGGGGCGUACAUUCAAUUAAAAACAGCACAGAUAGAAAAUACAUGAAGACCAGAGACGAGUUGAGAGAAAUUGUCACAAUAUUUCUUGGCGCACAACAUUCGAUGUAUCGUCUUUUUAUAAUGAGUCCAGCAUUUGUGUUUUUUUAUCACGAUGAUCUUUAUUGUUAAAUUGCUUCAAACACUGGUGAUCCGCUCGAUUACGCUGGUUACCGAGACGGUUCGUUUCGGUAACAAAAUGCCGGAACGUUGAAGGAACGAUUUAACGAAGGUACGAUUGGGAUAAAAAUGUCGUGAGGAUUCUGCCUACAUCCGCCGAAUCGUUUCGGUAACCAGCGUAAUCGAGUGGAUCACCGGUGUCAAAGACAUAGCUUAAACUGCUUCCAAC
rnacentral:misc_RNA from 1 species